GUAAGUAGUGCUCCAUUUUCCUAGCUCUCGCAGUUGUUAGCACCAUUUUGUGAUGAACGAGGGGAGAGAGGUCGAAAGAGCUGUGGAGUAGAAGUAGAUUGGUGUUUUUAGCCAAUUUUGUGGGAUAUAGCUUUGUUUUUAAGUUCUUAAAUAUAUUUGGAAGAGGGGCGGUAGUUGUACAGUUCUCGGGCGGCAAGUAGAGAAGUUUGGAGUGUGAGUUUUGUCGAGUCGCGCUAAAGCUACACAGCUAACAGAUCUACACGAGUCUUUCAGAGAAAAGGAGAGAUCCCUGCAAGUCUGAAGAAACAUGAGUGCCCCUUCUUCUCAAAAAGUCGUGCUGAAAAGCACCACCAAGGUGUCCCUGAAUGAGCGGUGAGGCGCUACGCAUCCUGACAGCAUUAUCUCAAGGCCAGGGGGAAAAGCAUACAGAGAUAACUAAGGCAGCAAGCCUCAAGACACGUGUACUAUGGAGGUCAUUGAGGGGGAGACAUCAGACCUGACGUGGACGCUAGACUGCCCGCACGGUGUGCGCCGCUUACCCAACAGGACGGCGAUUACUUGAGUCGAUAUUAAAGAUCUGAUAGCAUGCCGUGUUUGGCGGUGUCUCUUGCGUAAGCGGCGCACACCCGGAGGUGAGAGGGUAAUGGCGAGGUAAGCCGACUGCACUGCAGAAGAGCAUCCUCAGCCAUGGGAAUGAGUUGAUAAUGCAGGAUGGUGUGUGUGCCAUCUGUAUUUCUUACCCUCUCUCACACAAAAACACACUCUCUCUCUCUCUCCCAGAAGAGUUUUUCUGCUCCUCCUCUGCGUUUCUCACUUUCUCUCUGGCUGUCUACAGAAUAAGGUGCUCAGUCCGUACCUAGACGUGACCUGUCCCCCCCAACCCCCUUCCCUUCUUCUCAUCAGAGGCGUCUCACAGAACAGCGUGCCAGGUCACGGUCUUGGUUGUAAGUGGCUGGGUUGCCAGACACCCCUCUAGCCCUGGGUCGACUCACCGCGUGGUGUCUCGGACUGAUGACAUUACAGUCGGUUGAUGGCGGCCUGUAAGUGGCAAUCACUCAGAAAUCUCCCUGCCUCUUCUCUAUCUCUGUCUUCUCUUUAAACCACAUCGUAGACGUUCAGUUUAAAGCAAAUAUGUUGGGGUGUCUUCACAUGUAAUCGAGAGAGAGAG